rnacentral:rRNA from 1 species
GAUGAACGCUGGCGGCGUGCCUAAUACAUGCAAGUCGAGCGAACGGACGAGAAGCUUGCUUCUCUGAUGUUAGCGGCGGACGGGUGAGUAACACGUGGAUAACCUACCUAUAAGACUGGGAUAACUUCGGGAAACCGGAGCUCAUACAGGAUAAUAUUUUGAACCGCAUGGUUCAAAAGUGAAAGACGGUCUUGCUGUCACUUAUAGAUGGAUCCGCGCUGCAUUAGCUAGUUGGUAAGGUAACGGCUUACCAAGGCAACGAUGCAUAGCCGACCUGAGAGGGUGAUCGGCCACACUGGAACUGAGACACGGUCCAGACUCCUACGGGAGGCAGCAGUAGGGAAUCUUCCGCAAUGGGCGAAAGCCUGACGGAGCAACGCCGCGUGAGUGAUGAAGGUCUUCGGAUCGUAAAACUCUGUUAUUAGGGAAGAACAUAUGUGUAAGUAACUGUGCACAUCUUGACGGUACCUAAUCAGAAAGCCACGGCUAACUACGUG